rnacentral:rRNA from 1 species
GACGAACGCUGGCGGCACGCUUAACACAUGCAAGUCGAACGAGAGAAGAGAAGCUUGCUUUUCUGAUCUAGUGGCGGACGGGUGAGUAACACGUGAGCAAUCUGCCUUUCAGAGGGGGAUACCGAUUGGAAACGAUCGUUAAUACCGCAUAACAUAAUUGAACCGCAUGAUUUGAUUAUCAAAGAUUUAUCGCUGAAAGAUGAGCUCGCGUCUGAUUAGCUAGUUGGUAAGGUAACGGCUUACCAAGGCGACGAUCAGUAGCCGGACUGAGAGGUUGAUCGGCCACAUUGGGACUGAGACACGGCCCAGACUCCUACGGGUGGCAGCAGUGGGGAAUAUUGCACAAUGGAGGAAACUCUGAUGCAGCGAUGCCGCGUGAGGGAAGAAGGUUUUAGGAUUGUAAACCUCUGUCUUCAGGGACGAAAAAAGACGGUACCUGAGGAGGAAGCUCCGGCUAACUACGUG